UACGUAGGCAGCGAGCGUUGUUCGGAGUUACUGGGCGUAAAGGGUGUGUAGGCGGUUGUUUUAAGUUUGGUGUGAAAUCUCCCGGCUCAACUGGGAGGGUGCGCCGAAUACUGAAUGGACUCGAGUGCGGGAGAGGAAAGUGGAAUUCCUGGUGUAGCGGUGAAAUGCGUAGAUAUCAGGAGGAACACCGGUGGUGUAGACGGCUUUCUGGACCGUAACUGACGCUGAGACACGAAAGCGUGGGUAGCAAACAGG
rnacentral:rRNA from 1 species